GCGUUGUAUUAGCUAGUUGGUGGGGUAACGGCUCACCAAGGCGACGAUACAUAGGGGGACUGAGAGGUUAACCCCCCACACUGGUACUGAGACACGGACCAGACUCCUACGGGAGGCAGCAGUGAGGAAUAUUGGUCAAUGGACGCAAGUCUGAACCAGCCAUGCCGCGUGCAGGAUGACGGCUCUAUGAGUUGUAAACUGCUUUUGUACGAGGGUAAACGCAGAUACGUGUAUCUGUCUGAAAGUAUCGUACGAAUAAGGAUCGGCUAACUCCGUGCCAGCAGCCGCGGUAAUACGGAGGAUUCAAGCGUUAUCCGGAUUUAUUGGGUUUAAAGGGUGCGUAGGCGGUUUGAUAAGUUAGAGGUGAAAUUUCGGGGCUCAACCCUGAACGUGCCUCUAAUACUGUUGAGCUAGAGAGUAGUUGCGGUAGGCGGAAUGUAUGGUGUAGCGGUGAAAUGCUUAGAGAUCAUACAGAACACCGAUUGCGAAGGCAGCUUACCAAACUAUAUCUGACGUUGAGGCACGAAAGCGUGGGGAGCAAACAGGAUUAGAUACCCUGGUAGUCCACGCAGUAAACGAAUGAAAAAUUCGUUGUUGGCGAUACACAGUCGGGGACUAAGCGAGAGCGAUAAGUUAUCCACCUGGGGGAGUACGUUCGCAAGAAUGAAACUCAAAGGAAUUGACGGGGGGCCCGCACAAGCGGAGGAACAUGUGGUUUAAUUCGAUGAUACGCGAGGAACCUUACCCGGGCUUGAAAGUUAGCGGCGAUUCUUGAAAGAGGAUUUCCCUUCGGGGCGCGAAACUAGGUGCUGCAUGGUUGUCGUCAGCUCGUGCCGUGAGGUGUCGGGUUAAGUCCCAUAACGAGCGCAACCCCUACCGUUAGUUGCCAUCAGGUGAAGCUGGGCACUCUGGCGGGACUGCCGGUGUAAGCCGAGAGGAAGGUGGGGAUGACGUCAAAUCAGCACGGCCCUUACGUCCGGGGCUACACACGUGUUACAAUGGUAGGUACAGAGGGCAGCUACCCAGCGAUGGGAUGCGAAUCUCGAAAGCCUAUCUCAGUUCGGAUUGGAGGCUGAAACCCGCCUCCAUGAAGUUGGAUUCGCUAGUAAUCGCGCAUCAGCCAUGGCGCGGUGAAUACGUUCCCGGGCCUUGCACA
rnacentral:rRNA from 1 species